CAGUACCGCGGUAAUGCGUAGGUGGCAAGCGUUGUCCGGAAUUAUUGGGCGUAAAGGGCUCGCAGGCGGUUUCUUAAGUCUGAUGUGAAAGCCCCCGGCUCAACCGGGGAGGGUCACUGGAAACUGGGAAACUUGAGUGCAGAAGAGGAGAGUGGAAUUCCACGUGUAGCGGUGAAAUGCGUAGAGAUGUGGAGGAACACCAGUGGCGAAGGCGACUCUCUGGUCUGUAACUGACGCUGAGGAGCGAAAGCGUGGGGAGCGAACAGGAUUAGAGACCCCGGUAGUCCCUGUCUCUUAUACA
rnacentral:rRNA from 1 species